ACGCUCGACACCUACGGGAGGCGGCAGUGGGGAAUAUUGCACAAUGGGGGAAACCCUGAUGCAGCGACGCCGCGUGGAGGAAGAAGGUCUUCGGAUUGUAAACUCCUGUUGUUGGGGAAAAAGAGGAUGGUACCCAACAAGGAAGUGACGGCUAACUACGUGCCAGCAGCUGCGGUAAUCUGAGCGGGCUGGCAAGGC
rnacentral:rRNA from 1 species